AACGAACGCUGGCGGCAUGCCUAACACAUGCAAGUCGAACGAGACCUUCAGGUCUAGUGGCGCACGGGUUCGUAACGCGUGGGAACCUGCCCUUAGGUUCGGAAUAACUCCCCGAAAGGGGUGCUAAUACCGGAUAAUGUCUCCGGACCAAAGAUUUAUCGCCUUUGGAUGGUCCCUCGUUGGAUUAGCUAGUUGUUAGGGUAAAAGCCUACCAAGGCGACGAUCCAUAGCUGGUCUGAGAGGAUGAUCAGCCACACUGGGACUGAGACACGGCCCAGACUCCUACGCGAGGCAGCAGUGGGGAAUAUUGGAAAAUGGGCGAAAGCCUGAUCCAGCAAUGCCGCGUGAGUGAUGAAGGCCUUAGGGUUGUAAAGCUCUUUUACCCGGGAUGAUAAUGACAGUACCGGGAGAAUAAGCUCCGGCUAACUCCGUG
rnacentral:rRNA from 1 species